AAUCCAUGCAUAGGACACUUUCACAACAAAUCUUUAAAUCUUUCUCAUGCUUUAGACAAACUUUCACCAUCCAUCUGCUUGAAUGAAGUCAAGUUAUUUCGAAGCUU